rnacentral:rRNA from 1 species
GGGGUGGCUCGAGUGGCGAACGGGUGAGUAACACGUGAGUAACCUGCCCUUGACUUUGGGAUAACUUCAGGAAACUGGGGCUAAUACCGGAUAGGAGCUCCUGCUGCAUGGUGGGGAUUGGAAAGUUUCGGCGGUUGGGGAUGGACUCGCGGCUUAUCAGCUUGUUGGUGGGGUAGUGGCUUACCAAGGCUUUGACGGGUAGCCGGCCUGAGAGGGUGACCGGCCACAUUGGGACUGAGAUACGGCCCAG